GUAGUGCCAUCUAGUGGAAGUAGUCAGAGUUAGUUCGGUUAUCAGUGAUGGUGUUAUAGAGAAGAUCAGGACAAUGACCAACCUCAACGUCACUAAAAGUCAGUUGAACUUUAGUGAUCCUGUUGGAGAGAUGUGCUGCUCUUCCUCCUGCCACCCCCGCCGGCUUUACCGCUUCAUCAUCCUUUUUAUACAUCUAAAUAACUAAGUAAUUCUCGGUACAACAGCAGAGUUGAGUUGCAGCUCCUGGUCCCCUACCACCAGUUUGGUGUGGUAACUGAGGAGUGCUGUGCCUGGCUGUGUCUGCUGCAACAUUGAUCAACACCGCAACAUUGACCAGUCUAAGGGGUGGAGACAACCACACUAGUAAAUGGUCAGACCCAUGAUAUUUAGUGUUAUACAUAGGGUUACUCCAGGUAUGUGGAGAUGCAACAACUGGAGACGACGUCAGAGGUGGGCGGGGCCCACUUGUAAGGUAUUUCCAGGUUGAAGAUAUUCUGCAUGUUGUGGGCAGCUGCUGUGUGGUGAAGUCCGCGUUAUGGGGAGCUGCAAGUCUUCAGAGAGAUCAUCACCAACAACGCCAAAACAAUGUCUGCAAAGAUAAAAGUUGAUGGAACUGGAAGGGCUGGAGAUGUUGAUUGUGUGGUGGAUGGCAGAGGAGUGACUAGUGGCGCCACUAUUCUUGACCUCCAUGGCUAAAGGGCGCCAUUGACCUGGAGGAGGGGAGGUGAUGUCAGUG